GGGCUGGCUGUAGCUUGGCGGUUCCUUCGAAUGCCUUAUGAUUUAACCACCCUUCCGAGGGUGGUUCGAGACCUGCGGCCGCUCACUAGCCCAACC
rnacentral:vault_RNA from 1 species